UCCCACACAAACCUAACGCCAUAACUUUUCAUGCAUGGUGGGAAUUCAAAAGAUUGUUCAAUGGAUAUUGGUCAACUAGUUCAACUUAUUGCUUGUUUUUUCCCUUCAAUAUUUUAAGUCUAACGUGUUGAGAAUGAGCAAUUUUUUUCUUUACACUAAGAAAUUUAUUUAAUUUUAAUUAAAUAAUUUUUCCUAUCUGUCAAUUACUACAACCCUGUAUGGCUACCGCCAUUUAUUUUCGUUAAAUAACUUGCCGAUUCGUUUUAUUUGAACGACUUGAUCUUUGACUCGUUGCUUGUUCGUUUAUUCUUGUUCGUACUCACGCGUUUCUAAACGUCGUUGUUCGUUGUUUCUUUCAUCGUGGUUCCGCGAAAAGUCUAAUAAACCAUUUUUUUUUACUCUUCUGGGUUUAAAAUUGUUGGUAAAUCUUGCGAGCAGAACUACGGAUUCAACGUAGUUAAAGUAAAUUUAUUUUUGAAGUGAAUACGGUAUAAAUCUAUAAUUGAAAAUUCGAUUGUCUGGCUGAUAAAUGUGCAAAAGUGGUAAAAAUUGGUGGGGACGGUAACAGCGAAAACAUCGAAUCAAAAACGGCAGAAGGAAGUUUCAAUUGGAAUGUGCUUGAGAAAAAGAGUGCAAUAGAUGUAAGCAUACAUAUUGCAUUAAUGAGCAAGUGGGAAAACAGUUUACUGCUUGUUGAAGGGAAAUCUAAAGUAACGUGCCGCAAGAGCAGCGCUGCGCUCGGUAGUGACAGAGGCCUUACUUAUUUUAAGUUACUACUAUGAAGAACUCUAAUAAGGAAAAUUUUAUUCGAGAAUCACAAAGUGUAGUUUGUUUCAAAAGUACAUAAAAAGUGAAGGGUAUAGUUGAAAGAUUUAGGUUUGAUAAAAUCUGUUAUAAAACAUAAAAAUUGUCGUCACUGAGACGUAUGUGUGAUUAUAUGAAACAAAUAGAGUGAAUGCAUAAAUUAAUGUAUUGGAAUUGCGGCUUCUGUGAGCAUAUUUUUUAAUAAAAAAUAGAGGUCCCCUGCUGUCGAGAUUGUCCUAGCUAUGUCAGCAGAGUACGAAGGCAGUCGAAGCGCGACGCAAAGGAAAGGUAUAAUGCAGAAAGCAAAGAAAAAUGACAGCAGCAAUAAUGACGAUGACACCUUAGAGGAUCUGGCGGGCUCAGCUAACAACUCGAUCAUUGGAAAAGUAAAAUCGCGAGUAUCUAGCAUAAUCCCUAGCAGUUUUUCAAAAUGGUUUUCACCAUCAUCACGAAAUAAUGAUUCAUUAAAUGGAAGCAUCAAUAUAGGCACGGCCCGGCGUCGUCGGCGUUUAGAAAUUGAGGACGAUGAGGAAUAUGAUGAUGAUGACGACAGAGACACAAAUGAAAAUGAUAGUCUUUCACGUAGAGAUUAUAAAGAAAACCUAGGCCACACCGAUAAAGUCAAUAAAGACUCAGAUGAAGAUGAUACUGACAACAAUAGCGAAGAAGAUUUUCCAAAGGCAAGAACUCUUCGGUCUGCGAAAUCAGAAUUUGUUAACGAACCACCUAGUAAACGAUCCCGGAUUAGUUUUGAUGUUUCAAGUGUUCAUCAUCAGCCUUUAAUCGCAUCUACUCCUGCGGUCGGCAAUAAUUAUAGAACUAUCAUCAGUCAUUCUAUAGAUAAUGUAUUGUCCAAACCGACACCGUCAUACGUUACAAGUAAUUUCAUCGAGGCAAAUGUAAACAGCAACGUAAACACACAACAAACGGCAUCGUCCUCAUUUAGUACAACAUAUAUACCCGAAGUUAAACCGCAAGAUGCACUUACAAAUAGAAUGAAUAUUAAUGAAAAACAAUUGGAUAACGUAACUGGAAUUAGCUCAAGAAGAACGUUGCAUCUGCCCUCAACUUCUCUGGCAGCUAAAGAACGUGAUAUGUCAAUGGAGUUUUCAAAUUUUAAACGCCAAUCCCUUUGUGGUACUUUGGAUUCUAAGAAACUGGGAUCAGACAUUCCGUCAGCGAACACUUCAACAACUAUAACUGAAAUAGAAACAUUCAAUCGAGACAAGCAACCAUUAACAUAUUCGGAUAGGAAAGAGCGCCGUAAUUUAAAUGGGAAUACAUCGACAGUGGUAAGCAGUAAGAAGCAAAAGUUGAAUGGCUUAGAAAUACCUGAGGAGAGCAAUGUUGAUGCCGAAUCAUCUUCCGAAAGUGGUGAAGACUGCAUUGGCAAUAAUUCUGAGUUGCCUAAUAUCACAAAUUUAGGGCAACGUAAAACUGGUUUAUUUAAUAUGUCCAAUAUAAAUAGUCAAAACGGAACUAAGAGUCGAACUUCUUCGUUUGGAAAUGGCAUAAAUUUUUAUUCUCAUUUAGAAGGCCGCAAAUCGCUUUUUUCUGGCGGAAUAAACACUGCCGAAUCGGCUAAUGUUAUAAACAAUUCUACUUUAUCUUUGACUUCUCUAAAUAGACGCCAAUUCAAUGCUUCUAUAUAUGGCAGUACGUCGGCUUUAAGCGAUAGUAGAUUGCUAAAUACAUUCUCACCUUUCUACAAGGGAAAAACUACAUAUGGAGGCGCAGCAGCCUACAAGAAAUAUAAUUCUGGUGCAGGGUCGAACAGAAUUUGUAAUAUUAUACCAACUGUAAUACGCCCCACUUCGAGUUUAUCGACACUAUCCUCUUCGAAUAAUUCGCUUAUUGCAAAUACUGGCGGGUCUAAUGCAUUAAGCGGUCUGAACAGUAAUGGUCUAGAAAACCCUUCGGCAAUUUCCAGUACAGCUAAACGAAUAUUAGACUUGAUAAAUGACUUUGCCACACCCUUAAGUGAAGCUAAGAAGAUGGUCAAUACGAGCGUCAAGGCGAAUUUACAAAUUCUUCCACAAGCUAAAACGCGUUUAAAUGAAACUGAUCUACAAGCGUCACGGGCAAUGCGUCUUUCUCAAGUUCGCACACCUUACUCGCGACCGGCUGUCACUUUGCAGCCAACAAUCAAGAACACAACUAUACCCCCACCUGUAAAGGAAUUGCAAGUACCGUCGAUGUCACAGUUAUUGCAAAUGAAAAAGAUGCAAAGCACCACCGAACGUUCACGACAAAUAACAAUGCAAAGCAAUGAUAGUGCCUCACGCGCAAUUGUCAGGAGCGGUGAAUAUAAGCUACCCAUAGCAAACAAGAACAACUCUAUCGAUAAGGAGACGUCACAAGUUCUACAGCAACAGCAGCAACACACAAAUAAAAUAAAAAGCAAAGUUCGGGCAUCCGGUCGUGUUACUGCCUCGAAGAACGCUGCAAAUUUUGAAGCAGACGAAACUCCACCUGCAGUCAAUUUGCCCAAUAUAGCGUUUCCGCUUAUGCAAUCGGUGCCAAAGUUUGACAUAGCUCUACCAAAGGCUCAAACAGCUAUGCCUCUCGAUAGCACUAAGUCCGACUUAAAAAAUCCCAAUACCUUGCCCAAAUCGCAAAUGGCAAUCGAAAGUAGUCCAGCCGAAGCCAGCAGAAACAUUAAUACAGCUCCAUUCAAAUUUAGUGCAGCUAGUGACAAAAUUGACCCUGCAAAACGUACCAAUCACAUAACGGAGUCCAAAUCAUUUAUAAAGGAUGGCAAUUCGUACACUACAGGAAUUAAAAUGAAUUUCAAAUUUUCAGCACCACUAUCUUUCGAAUGUUUUGAUUCGCAAGUUUCGUCAAAACAAAACUUGAAUACAGUUAUUAAAAAAUACACAUUUAGUCCGCCAAGUGCUGUAAACUUUGAAAACAAUGAACAAGGGAAACUACAAAGUGAAGUGCAAAGUGGUGAAACUGUAGUAUCACAACUGAAAAGCGGUAGUGUGCUUGAUGCCCUGAAAAAACCUUUCGUUUUGCCAUCAACUACAAAAGAAAUUAUAUCAAGUUCAAGCUCUGAUGGCAAUGAAACCACAAGUGGUUUUGGCGAUCAGUUCAAAAAAGCUUCAAACAAUAAGUGGGAAUGCAACACGUGUUUGAUUCGGAAUGAGAGUGAUAUAGAUAAAUGUGUAGCUUGUGAAACUUUUCGCACAAAAGGAACAAUGUUUACACCAACGCUCACAGCUGUUUCUAAAGCACCUCUAACUGAUAGCUCUUUAACCUUGAGCGCUCAAUUCAAAAAACCUUUGGAUGAGUGGGAGUGCGACGUUUAUAUGAUACGGAAUAAAAAGCAAUCCGAUAAAUGUGUCGCAUGUGAGACUGUGCGUAAAGGAGUGGCAGAGUCCACCAACUUAAACUCAAGUAAGUGGCAGUCUAAUUCAUUUGGUGAAGCAUUUAAACCGAAAGCCAACUCAUGGGAAUGCCCAACUUGCCUUAUAAACAACAAAUCUGAUUGCAGUGAAUGUAUUGCUUGUCAAACAAAGAAACCAGGCAGCGGAAGCGAGGAUAACAGUAAAACUUGCUCUACAACAAACACUAUAAACACAACAUAUAAAUUUGGUUUCAGUAAUGUUGACAGCAAGUCUCCCGGUCAAUCAACUGGUCAACCGGAUUCUGGUUUCAAAUCACUUGCGGUAUCUCAAAUGUCAGCUAAGUGGGAAUGUGAUGCUUGCAUGACGCGAAAUGAUGCCGCUCGCAAUAAAUGCGUUUGUUGUGAACAAGCAAAACCAGGUACAACAACGUCAGACUUUCCUGACAAUGGUCCUAAGUUUACAUUCGGCUCAGCCGCAUCAUCAAAAUUCACCUUUGGCUUUGGGGCCAGUGUAAAUGGAACAACUUCAGAUUCCGGUGCAGUAUUAACAUCCGUAGCCGGAUCAAAUCAAAAGACUGAAGAAGGCAAUAUAAAAAGUUCAGCGUUGGGAAACACACAGGCUACAAGCCAGGCAUCAUCUUUAGGCAGUGACUUCAUAUUUGGCAUAAAACCUACUCCUGUCACAAGUGAAAAAGAUGUUUCUAGCAAAAACACCGAAAACAAGGAUGUCGCAGAUAACGGAAAUAAUUCUAAAAAGCCAAUAACUGAAUCAAACAUAAACGAUUUUAAGUUUGGCGGAAGUACCGCUACAGAAAACAAUGAUAUUAAUACCAAACCGAACUUCCAAUUUGGCGUGCCCGCAACCACUGCUACAUCUACGGUGACAUCAUCACCAGCUGUCAAAUUCAGCUUUGCCGCACCAGUAACUACUUCUGUCAGUGCUAUUGGAGGUGAAUCUGAAAAACAAUCCAACUCUAAUGCGUCAUUGAGUGGUAAACCUGCGACUGGAGGCUUUUCUUUCGGUAAUAGCAUAACACCAGCAACGUCUCAAUCAAUUAGUGGAUUUUCAUUUGGCACAGGUUCAACAACAACAACAAUAACAAAAUGUAAUACAACAACCACAACAACAUUUACUUUCGGCGCCUCUACAUCCACGACUCAAACCGGUCAAUCAUCAGCGACAACAACUACAUCAAUGUCGACUGCCACCGUUAAACCAAUGUUUAGUUUUGGCAGCAAUACUACCUCAACAACACCAGCAACAAAGUCACCAGCGCCAUCUUCAAUUACAUCAACAUCUACAACAACUACAACUCUUUCGGCCUUUUCAAAGCCUACAGUAGGCUUUAGUUUCGGCAGCGGUGCUUCAGGGUCUGCCACAGUCUCUACAGCUGCCAAGGCUAUUUUUGGUAACUUUAGCUCUCCUACUACCGUUUCUGGGGCUUCAGUUGCUAUCACAUCGGCGCCCAGCACAGCGCACUCUACAUUGUCCAAUGUGUCCAAAAAUGUUUUUGGUACAUUCGGUGAAAGCAGCUUAUCGGCCAAGACAACUACUACCUCAGCUACACCGACUCCAUCAUCCACUGCUGCCUCUUCAGCAAAUCCUUUCGGAUCGAUAAGCCAAAACGUUGCGUCAACUAUCAGUAGCGAGUCCAAGCCCAUUGCUUCAGCGACAAUGAUUUUCGGAAGUGCUGGGAGUGGCAAUUCGAAUAAUAAACCCACUGCCGGUGCGAUUCAGGCCCCGAUUGCGCCUUUUGUUUUUGGCUCAUCGACAUCAAAUGCCAUUACACAAGGUACAUCGAGCAAUACAACGACAAGUGGCAACAUAGUUGCACCUGCUACCGGUUGGCCGAAAAGUGGAUUCGCUUUCGGAGCAUCCUCUAUCAAUUCCGGUUCACAGAAUGCAAAUGAGACUUCUAAACCUGUAUUUGGGAGUUUCGCCCCCGCUGCAGCUUCAUCAACGACAGGGACUAGUGGUUCAAUGUUUGGAAAUUUAGCUAGCAGCGGCACAGCUGCGGGUGCAAACCCUACUUUUGGCAGUGCGGCAGCCAAUGGUUCUACAGUGAGUCCAAGCAUAAUGUUCGGAGCUAACAGUUCCAACCCCACAUCGACCACACAUACAACGCAAAAUCUUUUUGGCAACGUGUCUGCUGCGCCGCCAUCUGCAUUCGGCGCACCUCCAACCUUUGGUAAUACUGGUAACAACACCUCCAACAGUACUCCGACCUUUGGCACCGCCAGUUCGGCAACGUUCGGAAGCUUCGGCUCUACGGCAUCGAAUGCUAGUGGUGAUGGUGCAUCUGCAGCUAAGAAAUCCGAGCCGGCAUUCAAUUUCGUCGGAAACAGCUCUCAAAUCGUGUCAAGUAGUGGCUUUAGUUUUGGAAUGCAAAAUGCAGCAAGUGCGCCGGUUAAACCAGCAUUCAAUUUUACUGCUUCAAGUACGCCCGCUUUUAACUUCACCGGUUCCUCCAGUGAUGCCACACCGAAUGCACCUUUCCAAUUUAAUGCAGGCACUGCGCCUGCUUCAAGCAAUAUUUUUGCGCCAGCACCUUCAGCGACAAGCGCCCCGGGUGCUAUGCAGGCUCGGCGAAAGAUCCGUCAACCGGCAAGACGACUCCCACCACGGUAGAGCAAUUUAUAAACGCAGACGCCAUUAACGGCGUGGACCAACACCAAAACAAACUGACGGGACAAAUACAAUGGUCGAGACAGAGGAACAGCCAAGACAAAGAUAAGAGCAACAAUAAAAUUCCUGCAAUCACGCAGAAAGGCGAGAACAAAGCAACAAAAAUUAAAUAUAAUGAUUACACUGUUUCGAGCAACUUUAUUAACACCAGCAAGUGCAACGACAACAACAAAGUUGAAUCAAGUACACCAUCAUUGGUAACUAAUGUAAAAAUGGUUGACGGCGUCCGAAGUGAUUAUGAUAUUAGCAGAAUGAAAGUAAAUAAAUAUAAAUAUAUUCGUAAGAUCGACGUCAAUGAUACACAAAGUUCCUGCAAUGUAGCAUCAAUUACUGGGCAAAAUAAUGCAAUUACAGGGAAUCCAUUAGAAUUGUAUAAAGUCGGGCAUUUUCAUGAAAUACCCAGUCAUCAGGUCUCUGGGAAGAGGCUGGUAAAGCGUAGUAUCCGUAUCCAACAGAAAUUUAAUAGAAACAAACAAGAAUACAGCGCACCCAAUGAAUCAUAUGUUAAAAUAGAUUCACAUCUCAUGCGAAACCAAUAUCGCAAAGUUAAUUUUAAAAGUGUUGGAUCGGUAAGAAGAUCAAUUGUGACAACUUCGCCUGGAAUAUCAAGUGAUAGCUCGUUGCCGUCAUCCCCGUCGUCAUCGCCAAUGCAGCCAGCAGUGUUUAAUCAAUGUAGUGUGAUGCGUUGCUGGCAAGACAACUCAGAACUGAAUACGAUGCAAAAUGAGUUAUUAGAAUCCUUGCCAGUGGUAAAUGAGCGACUGAAUACUGGGCGAAAGGCUUGUAACUCAUUUAUUAUCACCAAAUCCAAUAGAGCCACUGUUGCGACAGAUGUUAACGAUGAGUGUUAAAGCUCUGCUACGACCACCAGCUGUUAUGCAGGAAUUUCAAUUAGCAAAAUGCUGGUAAAUGACAAUUAGACGUGACAGAUUACAUUAUUAUUGAUUUCUAAAAGUUACUUUAACCAAUUUACUAUUUUAAGAGCUCUAAUACUGUGUAAACAAAAAUUAUCAAGCAGAAAACAUAUUUAAGAGUUAAUAAUGAGGUUAUAAUAGGUAAAGGAAUAAAUUAGAAAAUAAAGAACAUAACAUCAGAACAAAAUCUCCAACAUGCAGUAAUUCAGGAAGUGUAAAAGUAAUACAUUCAUGCAUACAUCUUAAUAAAGAAAACCUAUUAUACAACCAUUAAAACUAGUACGAAUAAGAAUAGAUGUCCAGAUGCCACGAUGAGUUUUAGGUGAAACAGAAACAGAAACGGGAAGAAUUUCGAUUUAAACCCACUGGAAGAUUAUAUACAUAUAUUGUUUUGAUAAUAUACUUAUCUAUGUCACUACCUUGGCGAAGUUAAUUGAGGCGAUUAUAUUUAAAAAGAAAAUAUGUGUUUUUAUUCAUAUUUUAUUAGAACUCAACUAGUGUGUGCUGGCAUUUCGUCCCCGGAAAUUGGCGAAUAGAAGGACAUGUUCUAGUACAUCUACAUUAAUAACUAUAAAUAUUUCUAUUAACGUAUACUUGCUUAUUAUCUAUUAUAUUUUGUUACUUUUGUAAGAUACAUAAAUAUUCGUUUCUAAUUGAAGAGUGUUAACAAAAUUGUAAAUCUUAGUCUAAUUGAAUUAUCUGAAAUUUGUUUUUGUAACAGUAAAGAAACAAAUUUAAAUUUACAGAAGACCGUUGAAAUUUCACAACUACAAUAAAAUAAUGUACAUACAUGUAAGUGAAUAUAUGUAUCGUCCUUGUUUUUUUUUUUCCUUUUUGGACUUUUCAUGUACAAGAAAAAACGUAAAAAUUAUGACCAAGGUAUAAAUGGGUAUUUAAUAUAAUAAUUAUCUCCUUGUCUUAAAUGUGGCUGUCAAAGGUGGUUCAAAGAAAGUUGUUGCUUUACAAGUAUAUAGGAUUUAUUAUUCAACAUAAUUACCAUAUAAUGCGAUAUAUCGUUUAUGGCAAUACAGUUCGUGAAAUGAAUAACAAUAGUGAAUAACAGUUGCAGUGAAAAUAAUGUAAUUAAUUAUUGUCAGUGUAAAUGCGGCAUUAUUUACUUAAAUAACAACAGGGUGAUUCAUAAUACAUAUUUUAUUUUAGUUGAAUUCAUCACAAAAUAUCAAACUUUAGAAAAAACGUAUAUUAUUUCAAACUACCAUAGUAACAAAUCUGAUUUCUGCUUAACUAAAUACAGUUCUUGGGACAUUGCAGUGCAUAAAAACCUUUUGCGCUGCAUCUUGUGUAUGUUGAUAUCAAAUUGAUGUUGAUAUGGUCAAAUUGAAUUUUUCGCAAGAGAUGUACAUUAGUCACUUUACUAAAGUAUAAAAUAAAUAUGUCAUUGAUGUUUUUACUGAAAUAUUUUUGAAAUAAUUUAGUGGACCAAAUAAUUAUUUAUUUUAUUACUUCAUACAAUAAACGCAUUUCGCCCAAUUAAACCUCAAGUGUGGCAUUAUUAAUUAAUGUUUCCCUUUUUAUAUAUAAAAACAGUUUUCCUCUAAAUAUAUCCUAACAGACGCUCCAUAGUAUAGAGUAUUAACACUAAACAACGCGUAAUACGAUUAAAUACAAUUUUCAAAUAAAAAAAUGUAAAAAGAAAUUUUAUUCUCUACCAGCAUUGUGGUAUCACAAAACAAUAAAAAUGGAAAUGGGCAAAAACUGCAACACUCUUCCAUGGUUGUUUGUGUGUGUCACUUGUGAGGAGCAUUGACUCAUUCGCCAUUUUUAUUUUUUUCCAUUUGUCUUCUUUGGGUGUUGCUGUAGACAGAAACUUAAAAAAUCGUUAAAAAUGGAAAUGUCUUUAAAUCCUGUGCGCGUGCUUAAGAGCGAGGCGCAAGAAGAGAAGGCUGAAAUGGCUCGCCUAUCAUCUUUUAUAGGAGCUAUUGCUAUAGGUGAUCUUGUAAAAAGCACUUUGGGACCAAAAGGCAUGGAUAAGAUUUUGGUAGCGCAUGGACGCAAUGCUGGCCAAGUUGAAGUUACAAAUGAUGGCGCCACGAUAUUACGCGCUGUUGGAGUAGAUAAUCCAGCUGCUAAAAUAUUGGUAGACAUGUCGCGUGUACAAGACCAAGAAGUUGGAGAUGGUACUACUUCAGUUACCGUACUUGCGGCUGAACUUUUACGGGAAGCCGAAAAAUUGGUGGAACAAAAAUUGCAUCCACAAAUUAUCAUUGCCGGUUGGCGUUUGGCAACCCAGGUGGCACGUGAAGCUCUUACACAAGCUUCACAAGAUAAUUCAGCCAAUGAUAUAAAGUUUAAAGAAGAUCUACUAAAUAUUGCGCGGACAACAUUGUCGUCAAAAAUUUUACAUCAACAUAAAGAGUUUUUUUCAAAACUAGCUGUCGACGCGGUUUUGCGACUUAAAGGCUCUGGAGAAUUGCAUGCAAUUCAAAUAAUAAAGAAGACCGGUGGCACAUUGGAUGACUCAUUUUUAGAUGAUGGCUUUCUAUUAGACAAAAAACCAGGAGUACAUCAACCACAACGAAUUGAAAAAGCGAAAAUUCUAAUUGCGAAUACCCCUAUGGACACUGACAAGAUCAAAGUAUUCGGAAGUACUAUAAAGGUAGACUCUUUGGCGAAAAUUGCCGAUUUAGAACUGGCCGAAAAGGAAAAGAUGAAGGAUAAGGUGCAGAAAAUUUUGAACCACAAUUGUAACGUUUUCAUUAAUCGUCAACUAAUUUACAAUUACCCUGAACAAUUGUUUGCGGACGCCGGCGUUAUGGCUAUUGAGCAUGCUGAUUUCGAUGGAAUCGAACGUUUAGCUCUUGUUACAGGUGGUGAAAUCGUUUCCACUUUUGAUAAUCCUUCACUGGUCAAAUUAGGUGAAUGUGACGUCAUCGAACAGGUAAUGAUUGGUGAGGACACACUUUUGCGUUUUAGCGGAGUGAAAUUGGGCGAAGCUUGUACAGUUGUGAUACGUGGUGCAACACAACAAAUCAUCGAUGAAGCUGAUCGAUCCUUGCAUGAUGCCCUAUGUGUUCUAGCUGCUACGGUAAAGGAAUCGCGCAUUGUUUAUGGUGGUGGUUGUUCAGAAGCUUUAAUGGCCAAUGCCGUUUUCAAAAAGGCUGGAGAAACCCCAGGAAAAGAAGCAAUUGCAAUGGAAGCAUUUGCUAGAGCUUUACUGGCAUUACCAACAGCUAUUGCCGACAAUGCCGGUUAUGAUUCAGCACAACUGGUAUCAGAAUUACGUGCUGCACACGCGCAGGGUAAGUCUGCCAUUGGCUUGGAUAUGGAAAAGGGCAAAGUAGGUGAUAUGAAAGAACUGGGAAUUACGGAGUCUUUCGCUGUUAAACGUCAGGUAUUAAUGUCCGCAUCAGAGGCAGCUGAGAUGAUAUUACGCGUUGACGAUAUCAUAAGAUGUGCUCCAAGACGUCGUGUACCUGACCGUGGUUACUGUUAGAUUAAGUUUUUUAUUAUUGUAUUAAACUACUUGCUUUAGCAAAGUAAAACUAUGUACUCCUUAUUUGUUUAAACCACUUCAUUCAACAAGCAAAGCGUAAAAAAUAAUAAUAUCUGUCCCUAAUGAUGUCUAUUCUAAUUCAUUCUCCAGAAAUUCGAAACACAAAGUAAUGGAGUAAGCAUAGCUCUUGUUUCCGCACUUGUAUCUCACUAUAUUAAAAAUACUGAUUUUUAAAAUAAAUCUGUUAAUAUUGGAAA